ACGACUGUUCAGCAGCACACACAAAGGACAGUUCAACCACUCAUAACUCCAUCCCUAGGAGAUGCAACAGCUUCUUCCUCCUGGCUUCUAGACCAUGAGCAGCAGGAAGUGAAAGGAAGACAGAGAGACAGACAUCCUAGCAACACCCCAACAAUGUAACCAGCUACAAACUCCGGCCUUGGAGACCUGGCCAUGGGUGCAUCUUGCCUGCGACUCAGCUCCUCUCUUCCCAUUGCUUCUCUUACCCCUCAGUCUCCACUCAGCAGCCAAUCUUAGCAUUUGAAAAUUCAUAUUACUCAUGCAUACCGACUUCCAAAUUCCUGAGAGUGAAAACCCCAAUCCUCUCUCUGGACACCAGGUCCUACGUGACCAGCCCUGACAUCUCCCUCCGUCUUGUGUCCUAGCUCCUUCCUGCCGGCCACUGCCUCUGAUCACAUGUGUAUCAAGGCUUGUCAAGGCUGCAAAUACGGUGUCCCCACUGCCUGGGAUGUAGUUCCCUGCCCUUCACAAACUUAUAAAGACAGACUCUCCCUGUUGUCCUUCGGGAAUCACCAGGCCUUCUCUGAUCAUGCCUAUUGUCACUUGUGUCUCAGCUCCAGCCACUUACCGUAACUCAGUGAAAAGAAACUUGCUAUUGGUUACAUUCAUGUAUUAAUUGUUUUGCUUAGGGUUUGUUGUUUUGUUUUGUUUUGGGGGCAGGA